UUAGUUUUCGAUGGAUGUUUUCCGAGGAGAUCGCCAAUUCUUAUAUUUAUUGCGGUAUCUAACGACUUAAUUAAACCCGGGAGAGUGGAAUAACGUUGUUCGCGAUGUAACGAGUGUUUUCACGUUGAUUACUUAAGCUGCCCUGGUGUCGGUUACCUCGAAAAAUGCUUGUGUUUACAUCCAAGUUUGAAGUGAGCUUCUGUAUUCCUGUCAUAUUAAGCCUAUGGUUCAAGAUCCUCAAAUAGCUCAGGCGCAGAACAGGGGCGAGAUCGGUCGGAGGCCGAGUGCAAGAAACGCCGCGUGAAGGUCCGCCACGUUUGGUUUAGGUUCGACGUGCUCCCAAGGCCUUCAAAACGUCGACUCCGUCGGUGAUCAAGUUAUCCGGGGGUGGGACAGGCGGAAGUGGGGAGCAAGGGUCCCCAGGUCCUGGCCCACCUCCUGCGUCGGCGCCGCCAGGUGCGAAGGUCGACCAUGGAUCGGAGGAGGCAGCGCCCGGACCGGAGGGGGUGUCCGGGUUGGCCCCAGGUGCGGAGACCACCAUGAGCUUCGUCCUCCAGGUGGGCCCCGUGGAGUCCACGGGAUCCGAGUCGUCCUCGGGGUCCCUGGACGCGGGCGAAGUCCCAGCGACCGGCCCGUCAUCGGCGACUUCGGCGAAGACCCUCACCUUGGGCAACGCCGGUCCCAGGACGCCGGGCCUGCAGAGCUCGGCGAGGGGGCUGGUGGCGUCCUCGGGGUCCUCCUCGAUGACCACCAUCGUCAAACCCGUCACCGUGACCUACCCCGUCAACAAGGCCGGUAGGGACGCCCAAAGGGCGACCUCGACGAAUGCCACCCAGGUGCUGACGACGCGGACCGUCGUCUCGCAGAAGCUGCCCGGAUCCGGAUACACGGUGCAGAGCGGCGUGCAGGGGGUGCAGGGUGUCUCCAUCAAGGGCGCCCUUGGCAGCUCCGGCAACCAGAUGAACGCUCAAUUGUAUCCCUUGCAGAACUCCUGUCCGCAGAGCGCCGGCCAGUCGGCGAAGAUGCAGGUGGUCGCCGAUCUGGGCCAGGGUAAGCAGCAGGUGCAGGGUAGCGUACAUCAGAAACUGCAGCAGGCGACGGCGCAGCAGACCCUGGGAGCCGGGGGAUCCGUGGUUAAGACCUUGACGGGUACAACGAGCCUGGCUACCGUGCAGAGGGUGCACCUGAAGGCGCAGAACGUGCAGGGGCAAGGCUUGCAGAAGGGGAAGUCGGGGGCCAACGCAGGAACGCAACCGGCUGGGUCGCGGGUGCCCGUCUCGAGGGUGCAGACGGUCCAGAAGUCGCAGAUCCUUGCUGCCCAGGGCUCUCAGGUCACGAUGAACCAGGUGAUGAACAACGCGAGCAUGCAGCGGGUGCAACACGUAAACGCGAUGCAGAAGGCGCAGUCUGGGAACGGUCUAGGUGGACAGAAAUUGCAGCAGGUAUUCAACAGUCAGAAAUUGCAGCAACAGGUGGGAGGCGGCCCGGGUCAUCCGAACCACAAGAUGCAGCAGCAACAGCAACAACACUCUGGGAACUGUCAGCAGAACCAACCGUCGAUGCAGAAAGUACAAGGGUUGUCUCAGAAGGCGCUGGCCGUCCAGAGGCAGCAAUCCGGGGCGAUUAACAACGUCCAGAAGUCCGGGAACUCUGUAGCCGGUUUACAGAAGUCACAGGUAUCUGGCCAGAUCGUCCAGCAACACCAGAAUCAGGUUCCAUCGCAGCAGGCGCAGAAGAUGCACGUGCCGGUGCAGCUGCAGUCCAGCCAGCAACAGAGGCCUCAGAGCACAUCCGGUCUGCAGAAGUCCCAGGCUUCGGGAACCCUCAACCCCGGAAAGGCGCAGGCAACCAACGUCUGCAAGAGCAACAGCGUGCCCAACAUCGCGAAGUUGCAGCAGAACUCGAACCUAUUGGCCGUUGGCAAGCAACAGGUUGUACAAUCCCAUCAGGUGCAGACUCAGCCGACACCCCAACUGCAGCAACAGUUGAUCUCCCACUCGUUGGGUCAGCAGCAGAUCGUGCAAAAGCAGCAACAGCAGCAGCCUGGAACCCCGCAUUCGCAGGUGCAGCGAAGCCAAAGCGCCAGCAACAUCCCCCAGAAAGUUGCCACCGUGACUUCUGGGCCGAACACUCAGAGGUCUCAGGCCACCGGGAACUCGAAGGCGCAACAGCAACAGCACAUGGUGCUCAGAGUGGGACCCCAGAAAUCCCAGUCUCAGACUUUGGCGCAGGCGAACGUCAAGGUGGCUCAACAGAAGACGGCAAACUCCGUCAAGGCCUCGAAUUCCCAGAACAACGUGGCCCUGCACAGGAACGCGAACUCCCAGCCGAUCAAGAUCGUGCAGCAACAUCAGCAGAACGCGGUUGGGCCGCAGAACACGCAGAAGCAACCCGGAUGCAUCAAGACCAUUCCACCCCAGAAAUCAAACCAGAGGAAUCACUCGCAGAAAGUGGCGGGCAUCAAGACGUCCUUGAACACCAACAUGAACCCCCUGAAGACGCAAGGUCCCGUCGCAGCCUCACAGAAAAGCAGCAUCAAGACGCUUUUACCGCAACAAGCAGGAGGGACCAACAUGCUUGUGCAUAAGAGUCAACCUGUGAAGAUUCAGCAACAGACCGCUCAGCAGAAACAACUCAUCAUGGCCCCUCAGUAUCCCCAGCAGAUAAAACCGCAAACGGGACAAAUCAAGACUUUGUUCCCCGUCGUUGCUGGGGAACCACGAAGAGACAUCGAAAUCAAGAAGGACAUGGAACCUCAUCCCUCAAAAGAAGAAGAGUCUCAGCAGACGCCGCUUUCACCUGUACGCAGGAUGCCACUUCCUUACGAGUGCCUCCAGUUUGUCCUCCAAGACCACAAUUACGGAGCUCCACCACCCCGGACACCACCACCAUCCUCACCACCUCCGCAUCCGAAGCAACAGCCGAUUAACGGUGCUGGAAGCUCCACUACGGUCUCCCAACAUCCCUUCAUAUACAGUCAAGCUGUGAGCAGCAGUAACAUCGAAGAUGACGCAGCCAGCGCCAUCAGCAGCGAACCGGGUCGGGAAGCCGAGCCCGAAGGCGAGGAAACGGAAACCGCCCCUGAAGGCGAAGGAGAUGACGAAGACAGCGUCACCAGGUGUAUCUGUGAUUUCGAGCACGACGACGGAUACAUGAUAUGCUGCGAUCGUUGCCUGGUCUGGCAACACGUGGACUGCAUGGGCAUAGACCGGUCCAACAUUCCCGACGAGUACCUCUGCGAGAUCUGUCGACCCCGUCGAGUCGACCGACAACGAGCUCGGGCUCUUCAGCUUCGCAAACGCGAGGAGCUCCUCAACUCGGACACGUCCUCCGACACCUCUUCGACCAGCUCCGCCGACACCGACGUCGGGGUCAACUCGACUCAGAAGAAGCGGCCUCUUCAGCAACAGGUGCCCCGACGAAAGUCCGACCCCCCGCCUCAGGUGCGCCGGCUGAAUAACAACAACAACAAUAACAACAACGUCGCGAAGCGACCUCGUCGAGAGACCCACCCGAGACAGUCGAGUGCAAUUCGCAAAAAGGAAACCGUCAAGCGGGGCCCUGGAAAGCGGAAAACGAAGAGGAGGAUGAGCCUCGAAGAGAGAGAGGACGAUACUCAGGAUGCCUGGGGCUCCAACAUGGCUCCGCUGAGACAGUGGAUCGAGAGAUACGAGGAGGCCGUCACCAACCACUACAGCCCUGAACUCAGGGCGAGGAUAUCCAGCAUCAAGGUCAACGGGACCCACGGCGAUCUCAGGCAGAGCAACAUGAACGCCGUGGCGACCGGGAAAUGCAGACUGAACGUGCACAGCAACAACCUUAGAUUUCUGGUGGCGACGAUGUACUUGCCCCCCAACACUCCUGUCGUUGAAUUACGCGGAAAGUACAUGCUGAGCACGCAGCACAGGCCGUCGCAUCCUCAGGGACGACAACACGCUCAGAGGCCUGGACCCUUCGUAUUUUUCUACAGGCUCCCACGAGAUGGCACGGAGGUGUGCGUCGACACCAGAACCUACGGGAACGACGCCAGAUUCGUGCGGCGUAGCUGCAAGCCAAACGCCGAGGUGAAGCACUGCAUAGAGAAGGGCACGCUGCACCUGUACAUCGUGACGACCACGGCGAUAGAGAAAAACGCCGAAAUAACGAUCCGUCACGAGCAGCAUGAUCUAAUGUUGUCACCUAAUCCCGGCUCGCCCCUGGUGCCAGUGGUCUGCGCCUGCAACAACCCGAGGGAAUGUCAGAUCACCUCGAUCGGGCAGCUAGGCAGAAGAGGGAGCAACGGCGCCAUCGCCGAAAACGCGGACGGUAGGGAGAGAAGACGGCGAGGCAGGAGGAACACAGCUUGCGAAGACAGCGAUUCCUUGUCGGCGGUGUCGAACACGAGUACCAACCAGACGACACCGACCUCCACCCCGACGCCAACGGCCCCCGCUCCGAAACGAGCGGUGCCAACUGCAAGCAGCAGCAGCAGCAGUAGCACCACGACAACCGCGACGGCUCGACAGGUGCCGAAGGAGGAGCCCCCCGCACCUCAGCCUCAGCCCCAGGUGUCCCCCGCACUAACUCAGCCACCGCCCCAGGAGACGAAGAAGGACAAGAAGAAGAUGACGAGGGAGGAGCGGAAGAUGGAGGCGAUCAUGAAGGCGUUCGAGAGGCUGGAGAAGGCGGAGCAGAGGAAGCAGGAGGUGCAGGCUCGGAACGCGCAGAGGAAGGAAUCCGGGGGCACGCACAGCGACAACGACGAGUCCCACGGGAUCGCUGGACAACCAAGGGGCAAACAGGGAUCCGAGAGGCCGGUCAGACGUAAACGAAGAAAGGGUAGAGCGAGGACGACCAGCAGUUCCCAGUCGCACGGGUCUCGCAGGACCAGGCUCAAUUCGGCGGAUUCGGACAUCUCUUCGGGCGAGGAAAGCGUCUCCAUGCAGUCUCCACCCUUGCCCAACCAGGGCUGCUCCACUGUCCGUUCCCUGCCGUACGAUACCCGGUUGCAGACGCCGACCAAGGAAGAGACCCAACCAGCCUUGCCGGGAACCGCUGGCCAGUCUGGAAUCCCAACGGCGGCUGGCUUGCUUCUAGCCCUGGCGAACUCCAACGCCCCCGGUCCCAACUCGCCGCCUCUUCAGCAACCCACUCCCGUGAAGAGCCCCACCUGCGACAGCGGGGCCAGUAGCAGCUCGCAGAGUUCCACCCCGUCUACUCCAUUGUCAUCGGCGUGUCUCCUGGUGGCUGCUGCUGUCGGACCUCUCGCGCCUGGAUUCAAAUUCCCCAAGACCAAGAAGGUCCUCAUGAACGAGUGGCUCAAGGAGUCGCCUGAUCCUCCCCAGGCUCCGAUGCCUCAGAUUUCCCCGUUGCCGGCUCUACCUCCGGUUUCUCUGACGAAUCCUGUCACUCCUUUGGGAAGAGGGCCUGACUUCAUGUCUCCUACCGACUCCUCCCCCGAGUUCCUGGGCCAGAAUUACGCUGCCAAGAGCCUAGCCACCCUUGUGCAGGCUGCCAACUCGGUGUCUGGGAUCUGUGAUUCACCACCACAGAGGAAACAGACCGCUGCUGCCGCUGCUGCUGCUGCUGCUGGGAACUCGAACAGCUCUGGACCCAGUGGAUCGGCCAAGAAGAGGUGGCUGAGGCAGGCCAUCUCGGAGGAGUGCGACUCGCCGAACAGUAGACCCGAAAGUCCACCAGCUAGCGAGAUGGUGGCUCCCCCGAAGAAGAGGAGGACCGCCAGGGAGAGCCUCUCCUCGGAUAACUAUACACCACCUACCACUCCUACCAUGAUGCUUCCGGAGUCGGCCAACACCGGGAGGCCCUCUCCUCAUCAUGAGGAUGAAUUUGCCGAUCAACCCCAUUCGCCUAUAGAGCAAGGUGCGAUGCAAGGAUACGAGUCCGAACCUAUGAAGGAAGAUGUCAGCUCUGAGUCGGAACCAAUGGAAGCAGACGACAUCGAAGAAAAAAUUAAAAUAGAGAGCACUUCUUCGCGGCAGGAACCACUGUGCAUAAAGGACGAAAAGAUAGACGAAAAGCCAUUAAUUACUUUGAAGCGAGAGCUCCCAUCGCCGAUUAAGGAUGAGGACGAGUUUAAAGAAGAAUUGCCCCUGAAACGACUAAAGGAAAAUGUCAAGAGCGAGCCCUUGGUCAUAAAAGAAGAGAGCGACACGGAAUCCAAGUUAUUCGUGAAAACGGAUGUUCAGGCGCAGGAAACAAAUAGCGAUUCUUUAUACGCCGAAAGGGAGAAAUCGGAGAAGAAAGAAGUCGGGAAAAAGGAGGUAAUCGAGCCAGUCAUCGAGAAGGGCACGGUGGAAAUAGUCGACCAGAACGAACAGGACACGGAAAUGGAAGACUUGAGCUCUCCGAUCGCAGCUAUGGAAUCGGACGCCAUCUUGAAACAGCGAGUCGCCGAGAUGAGACUCGAGUUUGGCGGCAGCAUUGCAGAGAUCGUCAACAUUGCCAGUGAAAACGAGAAGUCCGAUGACGAUAGGAAGUCCGAAAGCACCAAGGGCGUCGAGGUCAGGUCCGACGACAACAUUUCGAUCGACGAGUUCGACGUGGAGGCGCAGAUGAAGAAGAUCACCGGAGACGAUGGUAACGAUUACAAGGAGAAGGUCGACACCGGGUCGGAGAAGGAUAAAAGUAUGGACGGAAUAGAAGGUCUGAUGGAAAGCUCGGGAGAGGACUCGGAUUCGGAAGACAAGGACCCGGAAGAUCUGCAGGACUGCGAGGCCCCGUUCGACGUGUUUGAAUCUCACCCUGAAGAGAGGAUAUUUAAAGAGUUCGAGCGCAAGCCAGAGGAGCAGGGAUUCAUGGACGAUCUGGAAGCAAACCCCGAGAAGCAGGAGUUUCCAAGCGAGUUCGAGCACAAACAGGAAGAGCCAGAAUUCCUGAACGAAGUGGAAGCUAAGCCCGAAGACGAGGAAUUCUCGAGCGAGGUCCCUGAGGAGGUGCAGAAGCCCUCGGCGACCGAGCCGCAAAAAGAGGAACCGGUGACGAACGCCCCGACGGUGACCUCCGAAGAGUCCAUCAUGUUCGAAUCGACCUCGUCGAACGUCGACGCCGAGUCCGUGUCCGAGACCCCGAAGAUCUUCCACUCCAUCCCUCCCCUCAGCGAGAGGAUCCGGAAGAAGCCGGAGCAGAUCCAGACCCCGAAGACCCCGUUGGUCUUCGAAGCCGCCAUCAUAGAGUCUACCAUAGAAUUGGAAGAUGGCGAGGCGUCCAAGAACGGGGAAGAGAAGUCCAUGCUCUCGUCAGCCUUGAGGGAACUCUUGGAAGCCAAGAUCGAGGUCGACAGCCAUGAAGAGGAGACUACGAAGAAGGAGAGCGAGCCCGAGGUCAACAGCGAGUCUCCGAUGGACCAAGUCAAUGAGACUCUUCCGAACAACGCCGUCAAGGUCGAGGAGAAUGUCUUCAAGAACACCAGUCGAGUCCUACCGGUCGAGGACAAUGUAGGGAAGGAAAGAGGAAAGGAACCUGCACUUAAGGAGUUUAAAAGGUUGAAGGACCCCAGAACUGUCGUUCCUAGUGACUUGCCGGCACCGAUCGCUACCAAACCUGACGUACCGCCGCCAGUCAAGCGCAAGGUUAGAACGUUAUCGAUAUCGGAGUACCGGAAACGCAAGCAACAGUCCUCUGGCACGCCACCGGAGCCAGAAACCCCGACGAACGACACUUCCUCCUCCGAAAAGGGCGCUCUUCGAGGUAGAUCGGACAGCGCGAGCAGCGGCACGUCGUCCUUGAGCUCCGACGAAGAAACAUCCAAAGUGACCCUGGAUCUACCUAGUUUGACAACUUUACCACUUCUCGUUAAUAACGAGAACGAGGAGAAAAAAGGCAUUCGUUUGGUGCAGGUGGCGAGGAAGGCACGAUCGGAUGGUCGGCGGCGCCCACGUUGGUAGAACGUCAACGAGAAAAUUUAACGGAGAGGCUCAAACGUGAAUUCGGACUGUUCCUCAGUGACGAUGAAGAGGAGCGGGCCCGGAAGCAAGGUUUAACUGCGGAAGCCAUCCCGAAGGCGCGCAAGAUCUCAUCCCCUCCGCACGCGCCGAUUCCCCCAGGACCCACCCAGCUGUACCCGAUACCGCAGUUGCCGCCACAGCCGUACAUCCCGCCACCAGGAUCUGCC
rnacentral:misc_RNA from 1 species